GUUCAUUUGUAGACUCUGCGCAGUGACCUCUGCAGAACAUACACUCGAUAGCAGCACACGGAGGAGGAGCACUGCAAACUGGGGCUCUCGCUCUGCAGAGCUCUGGAGCCUGCGCUCCCCUUCAGAAUGAGGACAGUCGCCUUACAGCCGAUGGCUUCCAGUAGCAGACCUAAGCCUGACGUCUUCCUUUCAGCUUGGCAAAUAGGAGAAGCACAUGAGGUCACCUGGCUUGCAGCUCAAGUCUAACUUGGAGGUCCCUGGAGGAGCACAGACGGUUUAACCACUUUAACAAGCUGCGGUGUCCAGAGGCCUUUACAACUUGCAAAGAACAGACUGCUUGAGCCGGAGCACUGACUCUUCCAAUUCCUCUCGAGUUAUCCCGAGCUACCGAAAUCGGCGUGUGUGUUUUCGCGCUGAGUUGAUGUACCCCUUUUGGUUACAUUUCUACGAGUCGGACUAACGAGAACGGAGCCCUCCGCGUUUCUGCCGCUCUCCAUUCGCUCCUGCAGCCCCCCCCGGCCGUAGCGCUCCGUACGGACCCACCGGUCGGGCCCCGACGGCAGCGCACUGCGGGCAGCCCCGGCCGCAGCCCCUCCGCCGUUCUCUCUCCGUCCGAGGUCGUUUCUCUCUCUCUCCUUUGCAAACGUUUUCCUAAAAAUAAAACUUCCACAGAAAUGUUUUAAGACGAGGUUCGCGAGGAAACGGUUUAAUUUUCACCAUAUGUCGCCACAGAUUAAAGAAAAAAAAAAAAAAUCUUUCCGCUGAAGCUACCAAAACCAAAAAAAAAGACUUAAUCUAAGAAUGCGUUCUCCUUAAUCCGUCCUCCCCCCAACACCCUGUGGGCCAUUUUACGGGCUCCAAAUAAAUCUUUCAGGUGGCAGCGAGGCGAAGAAGCGGCGCAGUGAUGACGGAGGAGCAGCCCCUGCCCCGCGUUAAUGCCACCGACGGGUGGGUCCGCGGCAGCCGCCCACCGCCGGGACGGAGGGACCCAUCUGAAUGAAAAUCUAUUAGCCCUCCUCUCAGAGACGGGAGCCGCGGAAAUCGAUAAAGAGCAGAGAAAGGGAACAAGGCGCAG
rnacentral:lncRNA from 1 species